UUGCACACGGGAGGCUGUGAUCCGCCGGGCGUACCACUGCGGCCACCGCAGUCCGGCGGGGAGCCACUGGUGAGACCGGCCCGCGGUCUG
rnacentral:ncRNA from 1 species